GAUGAACGCUGGCGGCGUGCCUAACACAUGCAAGUCGAGCGAAGCGCCUUACUUGAUUUCUUCGGGAUGAAAGUAUUGUGACUGAGCGGCGUGGUCAGGUACGCGUGAUACCUGCCUCAUACAGGGGAUAACAGUUAGAAAUGACUGCUAAUACCGCAUAGACCACAGCACCGCAUGGUGCAGGGGUAAAAACUCCGGUGGUAUUGAGAUGGACUCCGCGUCUGAUUAGCUAGUUGGUAAGGUAACGGUCUUACCAAGGCAACCGAUCAGUAGCCGACCUGAGAGGGUGACCGGCCACAUUGGGACUGAGACACCGGCCCAA
rnacentral:rRNA from 1 species